rnacentral:misc_RNA from 1 species
AACUUUCAACAAUGGAUCUCUAGGCUCUCGCAUCGAUGAAGAACGCAGCGAAAUGUGAUACGUAAUGUGAAUUGCAGAAUUAAGUGAAUCAUCGAAUCUUUGAACGCAUCUUGCGCUCCUUGGUACUCCGAGGAGCAUGCCUGAUUGAGUGUCGUGAAAUUCUCGACCUCCCGAUGGGUUUCUUUACCCCUCGGGUUGGGACGGAUCGUGGCUGUUUUGCCUCGUCCCUUGGAUGAGGCUCAGCUGAAUGAGAUGAAGGCUGACAUAAGUUGGGAUCGGCUCGCUCGAUAUCGUACAUCUGACUUUGUCGACUCGCCGUGUCUCCCUGUCCGGCCUCCCCUGUAACAUGGGGUUAACACGCAUUCUGAAAAUCUGACCUCAAGUCAGGCAGGACUACCCGCUGAACUUAAGCAUAUCAAUAAGCGGAGGCU